AGUGAACGCUGGCGGUAGGCCUAACACAUGCAAGUCGAACGGCAGCACAGUAAGAGUUUGCUCUUACGGGUGGCGAGUGGCGGACGGGUGAGGAAUGCAUCGGAAUCUACUUUUUCGUGGGGGAUAACGUAGGGAAACUUACGCUAAUACCGCAUACGACCUACGGGUGAAAGCAGGGGAUCUUCGGACCUUGCGCGAUUGAAUGAGCCGAUGUCGGAUUAGCUAGUUGGCGGGGUAAAGGCCCACCAAGGCGACGAUCCGGAGCUGGUCUGAGAGGAUGAUCAGCCACACUGGAACUGAGACACGGUCCAGACUCCUACGGGAGGCAGCAGUGGGGAAUAUUGGACAAUGGGCGCAAGCCUGAUCCAGCCAUACUGCGUGGGUGAAGAAGGCCUUCGGGUUGUAAAGCCCUUUUGUUGGGAAAGAAAAGCAGCAGGUUAAUACCCCGCUGUUCUGACGGUACCCAAAGAAUAAGCACCGGCUAACUUCGUG
rnacentral:rRNA from 1 species